GAUGAACGCUGACAGCAUGCUUAACACAUGCAAGUCAACUGUGGCGGACGGGUGAGUAACGCGUAAAGAACUUGCCUCACAGAUAGGGACAACAUUUGGAAACGAAUGCUAAUACCUGAUACUGUGAGAGAGCUUUGCGUCCCAUUAGCUAGUUGGAGAGGUAACGGCUCACCAAGGCGAUGAAGGGUAGCCGGACUGAGAGGGUGAUCGGCCACAUGGGGACUGGGACACGGCCCUUACGCCUACGUGGGGCAGCGGUGGGGAAUAUAGGACGAUGGGCCAAAGUCUGAUCCAGCUAUUCUGUGUGCACGAUGAAGUUUUCGGGAUGAAAAAUGCUUUCAGUUGCGAAGCGGUACCAACACAAGAAGUGACGGCUAAAUACGUGCCAGCAGCCGCGGUAAUAC
rnacentral:rRNA from 1 species